CAACAGGGAUUGCCCCAGUAACGGCGAGUGAAGCGGCAACAGCUCAAAUUUGAAAUCUGGCCCCCGGGUCCGAGUUGUAAUUUGUAGAGGAUGCUUUUGGUGAGGUACCUUCCGAGUUCCCUGGAACGGGACGCCAUAGAGGGUGAGAGCCCCGUCUGGUCGGAUACCGAUCCUCUGUAAAGCUCCUUCGACGAGUCGAGUAGUUUGGGAAUGCUGCUCUAAAUGGGAGGUAUAUGUCUUCUAAAGCUAAAUAUAGGCCAGAGACCGAUAGCGCACAAGUAGAGUGAUCGAAAGAUGAAAAGCACUUUGAAAAGAGGGUUAAACAGUACGUGAAAUUGUUGAAAGGGAAGCGCUUGUGACCAGACUUGGGCCCGGUUAAUCAUCCAGCGUUCUCGCUGGUGCACUUGGCCGGCCCAGGCCAGCAUCAGUUCGGCGUGGGGGAUAAAGGCGGCGGGAAUGUGGCUCCUCCGGGAGUGUUAUAGCCCACCGUGUAAUACCCUGUGCUGGACUGAGGUUCGCGCAUUCGCAAGGAUGCUGGCGUAAUGGUCAUUAGCGACCCGUCUUGAAACACGGACCAAGGAGUCGUCCUCGUAUGCGAGUGUUCGGGUGUUAAACCCCUACGCGUAAUGAAAGUGAACGCAGGUGAGAGCUUCGGCGCAUCAUCGACCGAUCCUGAUGUUCUCGGAUGGAUUUGAGUAGGAGCAUACGGGGCCGGACCCGAAAGAAGGUGAACUAUGCCUGUAUAGGGUGAAGCCAGAGGAAACUCUGGUGGAGGCUCGCAGCGGUUCUGACGUGCAAAUCGAUCGUCAAAUAUGGGCAUGGGGGCGAAAGACUAAUCGAACCUUCUAGUAGCUGGUUCGCAUCUC
rnacentral:rRNA from 1 species